AAUUUUCCUAGCGCUUUCUCUAUUUUUGUUACAUUGUUGAAAGUAUGAACUUUGCGAAAAUAACACUUAUCUAAAUUUAAAAAUUAUCGUUUUAACGUAAAAAUUAAUACUUUUUGAUGGCCUAUACAAAAAAUAUCGAGACUCCUCCUUUCAGUCUUCAGACGCAUGCGCAUAGACAGUAAACAGUGCAGCAUGUCGUCCAGUGAGAGAAAGUGUAGUUGAUAGAUCUAGAAUUUUGAAAGAUUCUGUGAGAAAAGAGGUAAAAAUAGAAUGAGAUAAAACUCAUACGUGAAAUAAAAUUUACCUUACAUGGUAUCAGUUUGACCGUUGGAAAACAAAGAGCUCGGAGAAACCCAUGUAACUCAGUGGCGGAUCUAGGAUUUCCGAAGGGGGUGUGAAAGUCAAAGAUUAGCCACAGUAAUCGGCCAUUAUGGUGCAAAAUUUGGAUUUUCAUUCACAAUCUGUGGCGGAAAAAGGGAGGGGGAUCCCCCCUAAAUCUGCCAUUGAGACUAGCUGCGAAGACACUACUUUUAAAAGAGCAGGGAAUACUCUUAUACUUGAAAGGUGAGUGUGGACCCCCUUGAAGGGGAAUUUAAAUAAUUUCCUACACAACACCUUUGCUGUCAUUCAAAACCACGUGAUGUAAAUAAGCAUUCAAAAGUCCGAGUCAGAAUGAAGAAACCUUUGAAUUCCGAACGAUCUUCAAAGCGCAGUUGAGAGUAAAUUGAUGCAUCCCAAUUGUUCAUAAUUGUCAG